AAAUAUUCAGUUUGCAGCCAGAGCUCGUCUGGAGCAGUACUACUUUUAUUUCGGCCUAAAAGUUCAAAAAUAAAAACAUCAAAAUUAUCAGUGAAAAAGAUAUUAUCUUUGGAUCACCAUGAUUCGUCAUUGUUUGUUGUUUAAAGGGUCCCCCAGAUUUAAGUUUUUGUUCUAAGGCUGCGCCUAAUUAUAUUAUUUGGAACUGGAAAUAGGCUGGCUAAAAUUGUGCUAACACCCUACAUCUAACACCAAACACAUUGUUGAAGUUCGUUGUGCCUUAAUAUGGCUAAAUAUAUCGACCAUUUUGCUUUUAUUGUUCGCUCAUAGAUCGUUAUAGCUUUGCAAUUUCAUCACGAUUUCUACAUUUUUCAACUGCACAGGGCAUCAGGGAUUUACAUUCAAUUGGUAUUGAAUAAGAAUAAAAGACAACACAUACGGGGGAUUAAACACAAGCAAAAACAGAUUGAUAUGAUAUCUUAAUGAUGGUACCCGUCUAAAACGUUUGACGAGAAGCCUGGCAUCCGGGAUUUAUUUUUUGGGCCUUCCCAGCCCCCAGCUCACCGUUCGCUGAAAACCGUCCGCCGCCCGUGACGUGUUAGAGAUAUUGAGAGUAUAAGAACAAUAAAAGCAAAAAAACUAUGGGUAUUACUAAA